rnacentral:rRNA from 1 species
GAUGAACGCUGGCGGCGUGCCUAAUACAUGCAAGUCGAGCGAACAGACGAGGAGCUUGCUCCUCUGACGUUAGCGGCGGACGGGUGAGUAACACGUGGAUAACCUACCUAUAAGACUGGGAUAACUUCGGGAAACCGGAGCUAAUACCGGAUAAUAUAUUGAACCGCAUGGUUCAAUAGUGAAAGACGGUUUUGCUGUCACUUAUAGAUGGAUCCGCGCCGCAUUAGCUAGUUGGUAAGGUAACGGCUUACCAAGGCAACGAUGCGUAGCCGACCUGAGAGGGGGAUCGGCCACACUGGAACUGAGACACGGUCCAGACUCCUACGGGAGGCAGCAGUAGGGAAUCUUCCGCAAGGGGCGAAAGCCUGACGGAGCAACGCCGCGUGAGUGAUGAAGGUCUUCGGAUCGUAAAACUCUGUUAUUAGGGAAGAACAAAUGUGUAAGUAACUAUGCACGUCUUGACGGUACCUAAUCAGAAAGCCACGGCUAACUACGUGC